GGUCGAGAAGGCUAAAAGGAGGAUUUUUUCCCUUUUUUCGGCCACCGCAGACGGUGGUGCCGGCACCGGAGACCGGCGGCCGGCACGGUGGCCGGUGAUCAUCCGAUGACCGACCGAUGGUCGGAGGACUGAAGGGCUGAGAGGUUUUUUUUUGAAAGAUUUGGUUUUUUUUUUAAAAUGGGUUUUGAAAUGAAAUUUG
rnacentral:lncRNA from 1 species